CUCUCAUCUCCCUAUCUCGAUUCUCUUCUUAUUCUCUUCUACCUGCUGUUUUUUCUUCUUCGUUCUAACCUGCACGUUUGAUUAUUUUUAUUUUUGUUUAUUUUUUGUAUCACAGGAUAUAAUACACGGAUCUACAAGAUAUGGAUGUGCUAGAGGUUUUUUCAUAGGUUGUGGAUUUAAUGUUGAUUUAUUUUCGUAACUGCUGAAGCGCAAAACAGGCGUUAAGGUUGAUUUAGCUGUAUUUUAAUAUUGUGAGGGUUUUUCAGUUACUAAUUUAGUUGCAUUAAGAUGAUUAUCUGCUUACUUGGGUUUAUCGUAGUGAGUUCUUAGUUAAGGUCCAAAUUGCUUUAAUAUAUAAGGUUGAACACUAAUUGUAAUUCUGCGAAUUAUAAUUACUUCAUGUGCUUUAGUCCCUAUGUUGCUAUUAUUGGAAAAUUUCAACUAGCUCAUUGAUAUUUGGAAACCUAACACCCUACAUCCGGUUCUUCUUUGUGGAACUGAAUUUCACCCAUUGACAGAUAUGUAGCUCCAUAAAACUGAAUUUCCCCUUAAACUGAAUUUGAACCAUUCACGGCCCUUUAAUAGUGAAGCUGGUAUUAGGAGGGUUAUUAUUGAUAGUGAAGCACGUCAUAAUCGAUAUUUAGAUACACAGAAUCAAGAAUGCAAAUCCACUUAUUUUUACCUUUUAGGUUUAAAAUCCCUGAUGUGGGUUAUUAAUUGAUAUAUAAUAGGUUGCUGAUUUUGUCCUAUUACGCGGAAAAUUCCAUAUCUCCUCUGCUGUGUUGGAACUCCUGCUAUUCUUCUCAUUGUUUAUACUCUUUGAGGUAAGAAACCUUAGCUACUAUAUUUCUACCAUAUUUUUUGUUGCAGGGUUUAAGAAAUAUCAUGUUAGACCGAAGCUAUGAUGUUUAAAAUCUAUGCUGAACUACGUCAUUUAUGAACUAAAAAUACUUAUGAUGUUAGCACUGUAUGAUGUAUUUUUUGACUAAAUGUUUGGAUUACACAAGUUAUAGAAAUGUAUAGAUUAGUGUUUGCUAAUAUUUCUCUCUCGCGGAAUGAUCAAAAAUAAUAACAAUGAUAAUAAAAUGGUUUCUCUCCACUUUCUCCAUAGGCUGCACGAAAGCCUAAUGAAGCAAAAGAGUUUUACUAAGAUAAUGCAGCGUAAUUGGUUUGGGUCAAGUUGCAACUUAUGAUGCAGCCAAGCUAAGCUGGUAAAAUGCUAACCAUGUUAUUAUCCAAAUUAGUACCCAUCUCACAGAAAAAUCAAUUGUUGCAGAUUUUCUUGGGAAAACUACUUAAUUGUCAUGAUGGGUUUAAUCAUUAUUAGGUUGCUAGAAUAAAUAAACAUGAUCGCAUCUAUUUUCUGUUAGAUUCAAAAAAUGACACAUCACAUCCAGCUUUUCUCACUAUCCAAUCGCAGGUGAAGUAAUUUUGUAUUAUAUUUAUAAACUUAUAAUGAAUACAAGUGAAUCUCCACACAAUACUUUGACUAAACUUACAUUGUUGACAUUGACAUUUGUGUGAUCAUUCUGGAUAUAGAUAUUAAUCUUUGGAUAGCAAAUAAAAAAAUAUUAAUCUCAACUAGCUUAUGUCUUUUCUUAUAGGUUUCAUGGGGUAACAAAUAAAAGGCACACAAGUAUAACAGAAAAGGAAAUUGCGUCCAUACGAGGUAUGAUACACUUGAUGUUGUAAUUUUGUAAAAGCAAUAUGUUUCCAUCUUUCAGAUUACAAGAGUCACUUAAAAUACUAUGGCGUGCUUCUUUUCUAUAAAUUGAUCUCGAUGGCUUGACCUCUGGAUACACUACAAAAAACACACCUAAUGAUAACAGAAAAGGAAAUUGCGUCCAUACGAGGUAUGAUAAACUUUAUGUUGUAAUUUUGUAAAAGCAAUAUGUUUCCAUCUUUCAGAUUACAAGAGUCACUUAAAACACUAUGGCGUGCUUCUUUUCUAGAAAAUAAGCUCGAUGGCUUGACUUCUGGAUAUAUAGUGAAAACAUAUGGGGUGAGAACCCCAUGGUAUACCACAAUGGAGGAAUGCAGCCCAUAUGGGGUUGUAGCAAGCAAAGGUACUAUCGUUUCUUACCAUUUUAUUGUGAAAAUUAGGACGACAUAUAUUUUGACUUCAUAAGUAGUUGGGAGUUGGGAAAUACAUAUAUAGCCUCAGUUCACGGAAGAAUGAAUAUGAACGGAGUGGAGUUAGAGAUACAGUUGGAAGUGACAAUGAAUCAUAAGAAGAUGGCCAGGCUGUGGGGAGUUAGAUUGGUGGUUCAGCUGCUGCUCUUGGCGCCUCUUGUUGUUAGAUUUAUAUGAUCAGUUAGAGUUUUUUUUCUAUGUGCUUUUUCUACAUCAUCUUAUGUUCUGUUUCAUCGUGUGUAUGGAAAAAAAAUAAGCUAGCCAGAUUUGUAUGUUGUUUUUGAUAGGACACAGUUAUGAGAUCAAUAAUAUUAAGAUGUGAAGGGAUUGAACCAAACCUAAUUAUAUUAAACCUACUGAUAGAUGCAUUAA